GUGUGUCAUUUCUGUCUCAGUCUUUGUCCGCGGUGGCCUGCAUACCUAAGGGACUCCCUCUCCGGUUAUCUCCUGUCCCAGUUGAAGUCGAAACUCCGCACUCAUUCUCUCAUUUCACUACAUGGAAUGCACUGGACUUUAUCCGACCUCAUGCACGGCAUGCAAGUGACGACAACAAUCAUUUGUAAACUUCAGACAAGGCCUAUAUUUACACACCUUGUGCCGUGUCAGAGGGUUAGACUUGCUCUGGAGGACAGACACUGAAUAUUGAACAACUGGUUGAACCAAGGCGUGAUAACCAUGGGAAAAGGAGCAGGAAGGCAGCCCGUUGGACUGGUAGAGUCAGCUCACACAAAGCUGUCAGAGGAAGUGAGCAGCUACUGUACCCAAUGAGACUAACAACGCACCAGCACAGACCUGGUGGACUGGACAUGUCAGACUGUGUGGGUAACAGAUAUGAUGUUUUAGGCAUCAGAGUGGGAAUUGUACUAAUAAA